CCUACGGGAGGCAGCAGUGAGGAAUAUUGGUCAAUGGGCGAGAGCCUGAACCAGCCAAGUCGCGUGAGGGAAGACGGUCCUACGGAUUGUAAACCUCUUUUGUCAGGGAGCAAGGAGCGCCACGGGUGGUGCUGCGAGAGUACCUGAAGAAAAAGCAUCGGCUAACUCCGUGCCAGCAGCCGCGGUAAUACGGAGGAUGCGAGCGUUAUCCGGAUUUAUUGGGUUUAAAGGGUGCGCAGGCGGAAGCGGCAAGUCAGCGGUAAAAUUGCGGGGCUCAACCUCGCCGCGCCGUUGAAACUGCGCUGCUAGAGUGCGCGAGGGGUAUGCGGAAUGCGUGGUGUAGCGGUGAAAUGCAUAGAUAUCACGCAGAACUCCGAUUGCGAAGGCAGCCUACCGGCGCCCAACUGACGCUCAUGCACGAAAGCGUGGGUAUCGAACAGGAUUAGAUACCCGUGUAGUC
rnacentral:rRNA from 1 species